UACUAUGUAGAUAACUGACUCUGGCUUGUCUGCCUUGGCUACUCAGGAAUAUCUUGAGAAUCUUCAAGCACGAGGUUGUCCCCAACUUGGAGAUACAGGAUUUAUAAGUCUUAUCUUGUUGUGUCCUGGCCUUCAUUGCUUGGAUGUAAGUGGUUGCAUUCUUGUAUCAAAUGAUACUGUACAGGCUGGCUUAGAUGCCGUUAAGGAUCGAAUGUUGGACUCAAAACUGGUUAUUACUGUUGGAGGUACAAGUGUUGUCCCCGAAAAGCUAAAUUUGGACAGCCCUGUGUUAGAAGUAUCUAGGUUGAAUCUCUGUGCUGACCAUUUACGACCAGAUCAUGCUGAUUGG